ensembl:snoRNA
UCCCUCCAGAUCCCUUUCCCAUCAGAUCUGAAUACCGAUCUUGUGGUCGAAACAGGAGGAAAAGUAACAUUCUGACUGGCCUUGGCCUCUCUGCUGGCACAGCCCUGCUCUGAGCAGGGCCAGUUUGAAGACAAUA